UCAGAGCCAACUCCCCGGUCACCUGCUCCAAGCGAGGAAGCUCCAGAGAGACCCCGGUUCUCUCAGCCGACUUUCCUAUCAGGAAAUUCUCUUUAAGUCACCCACAGAUCACUCUUUCCUUCUCUGCUUAAAGGAGCCGAGUCUGCCGCAU
rnacentral:lncRNA from 1 species